UACGUAGGGGACAAGCGUUGUUCGGAAUUAUUGGGCGUAAAGCGCACGUAGGCGGUUUUGUAAGUCAGGGGUGAAAUCCCGGGGCUCAACCUCGGAACUGCCUUUGAUACUGCAAAUCUCGAGUCCGGUAGAGGUGGGUGGAAUUCCUAGUGUAGAGGUGAAAUUCGUAGAUAUUAGGAAGAACACCGGUGGCGAAGGCGGCCCACUGGAUCGGUACUGACGCUGAGGUGCGAAAGCGUGGGGAGCAAACAGG
rnacentral:rRNA from 1 species